UUUUGGACAAUAAGAACAAGCAUGAUUAUAAAUAUAACAAUUUAUUUAAAAAAAAACUUUGGUGCGCCUAACCUAAGGCCAGCAGUGUACAUCAAGCUUAUUGGUGGGCGGGGCCACGCCCACUUUAAAAGGAUUUUCAAACAGAAACUUGUCCUCCCUAUUGUGAUUCGUUGUGCCGAAUAUGAGUGAUUUAUCUUAAUAUACGGCUUUGUUAUGCCACUUUAUACGAUUUAAAUGAAUGGCGUAUUGUAGGCGAGACGGUGGUCCGAAUAUGUCAGUGUGCAAUACCUUCUUAUGGUGCUGAGAAACCAGUUUCAUGUAGACAUUUUAAUUUAUACUCAAGUUACAGCUUCCACGGACGGACAUUUAUAUAUAUGUGGCAGCAUCCCCACUCAAUUCAGAGAUAUAGCGCAAUUCUGUAAGCAGUCUCUAUUCACAACACAGUCUAUUUUUGGCGUCAACAUACUGCAGAUUAACAAUCCGAGCAAAAAUGAUUGAAAUAAGUUUACAAAAUCGACUAGGCAUUGCUGACCGUGAUAUCACUAAUUUGCAGCUGCUUGAUGGUUAUACGUUUAAUCAAACCGCUGUCUUUGAAACAGCGUGAUGAAAGAGAAACUUUGCUAUAUCACCCAUGACAUCGAAAUGUAAUAUUACUCGAUUGUUGUGUGAUAAAGGUUUUGAGGCGUUAUUCCAACCGCAUUUAAUAAACUUUGAAGGACAAGGCAUAUCUGGAUCAGUGUUUCGAUAUCGAUAUAUGUACAUAUGACUGAAAUUGUACAAGCAUAUCGUGCGCGUGGGGAUAAAUUUGUGAGACUUAAAAUUCAUCUUGAAGUUCCGCUACAACGAAAAUAUGUGGUCUUUAUCGGCAGCGUUAUUUUGGGUAAUAUGGCAAAGGAUAUUGAUGGUUUUUGGAUGUGCGUAGGAAACAAGAAAAUUAAGAAAAUUAUAAUAAAACUUACAAAGAGCUCACA
rnacentral:lncRNA from 1 species